CACGUAGGGUGCGAGCGUUGUCCGGAAUUAUUGGGCGUAAAGAGCUCGUAGGCGGUGUGUCGCGUCGGCCGUGAAAACCUGCAGCUUAACUGUGGGCUUGCGGUCGAUACGGGCAUCACUGGAGUUCGGCAGGGAGACUGGAAUUCCGUGGUGAUAGCGGUGAAAUGCGCAGAUAUCAGGAGGAACACCGGUGGCGAAGGCGGGUCUCUGGGCCGAUAACUGACG
rnacentral:rRNA from 1 species